rnacentral:rRNA from 1 species
GACGAACGCUGGCGGCGUGCCUAAUACAUGCAAGUUGAGCGAUGAAGAUUGGUGCUUGCACCAAUUUGAAGAGCAGCGAACGGGUGAGUAACGCGUGGGGAAUCUGCCUUUGAGCGGGGGACAACAUUUGGAAACGAAUGCUAAUACCGCAUAACAACUUUAAACAUAAGUUUUAAGUUUGAAAGAUGCAAUUGCAUCACUCAAAGAUGAUCCCGCGUUGUAUUAGCUAGUUGGUGAGGUAAAGGCUCACCAAGGCGAUGAUACAUAGCCGACCUGAGAGGGUGAUCGGCCACAUUGGGACUGAGAAACGGCCCAAACUCCUACGGGAGGCAGCCGUAGGGAAUCUUCGGCAAUGGACGAAAGUCUGAACGAGCAACGCCGCGUGAGUGAAGAAGGUUUUCGGAUCGUAAAACUCUGUUGGUAGAGAAGAACGUUGGUGAGGGUGGAAAGCUCAUCAAGUGACGGUAACUACACAGAAAGGGACGGCUAACUACGUG